AUCACUUGUGAGACUUUGGCUAAGAUCAAGUGUAGUAUCUGUUUUUAUCAGUUUAAUAUCUGAUACGUCCUCUACCUGAGGACAACAUAUUAAAUGGAUUUUGGGAGCUGGGAGAUGGACUAGGAGCUUGCUGCCUCCACUCCAUGCAUCGAUCUGAUAUUGCAGUAGCUCCAGGAACGGGGCCCCCCUG
ensembl:snRNA U2 U2 spliceosomal RNA